CAGACGCAUUUUAGCUAUCGACACGGUGGGAAGUGAGUUUUUUGCUGACGGCUUAACUUUGUAAGACUUAGAAGGAGGCGAUUUUGUCUUUCGCUAAACAUUUUUAACUUAUUCAAGUAUUAAAGUGCGUCAACAAAAUGAGGGACGACCAAAAAGGACUCACGAAACCAGUGGCAGAUUGUGUUUGCCAUGACCGCUGUUGUUUUUUUCAUUGGCAACCUGGUGUACCUAAUUUGGGGCACCACUGAUCAGCAGUCUUGGGAUGCGGAAGACUAUCUGAAGACGAAGGACCCGGAAAACGAACCGAAUGCCCAUCAAAUGGAUUUUAAGCCAAGGCCGGAUUCAGAGGCUAAGGCAGAUAUAAAAGCAAAAUAAUUCGCGAAAGUAAUUUCUGGAACGCAAGGAAGUGCGAAAUGUAAAGCCGAUCUAUCUGGCCAGCAUUGUCUAAAUGCAUAUCGGGCGUAGCGUAUGCCAUUUAAUUAAAAAUUCUUAAAACGUU
rnacentral:sRNA from 1 species